UUGCGGGUCUUACACUGCAAUGUCUCGUCCCUUGUGUGGCGUAAUGUGAAAUCAUUGAAAAGCUUGUGUGAAUUGAAGGCUUGGCUUAAUACUGUGUUAUAUCUCAGCUUAUCAUUAUUAAGUAUUUACCAUUUGACGUUAAAAAACAACAAUACUUCACAGAGAUAUCCAAGUAUAACAGAGGCUUCCAUACUGUAGCUAAUGAUCAACAGAGAAUUACCAGCCUUUCUCUGUGUGUCAAGGAGAGCCCUUAGGGAAACGUUCGUGUGCGUGUGUGUGUGUGUGUGUGUGUGUGGUAUGGAAAGAUAUAAUUGCUUAAGUACAGCCUCUCUCUCUCUCUCUCUCUCUCUCUCUCUACGUAUUUUGCCUGUCUGCCCUCGUGUGUGUGUGUGUGUGUGUGUGUGUGUGUGUAUCUCAUUUAUUUAUUUAAGUUAUUUUUCUUCUUCACGCAGAUAGUAAUUGACGAACACAACACACCAUGUGGAGAGAAGCAAGGUGUGGAGUACCCAAACCUCUCACAGUCCAUGCUAGUAGACUCACCCUGCAUGUGGAGAUCUCCCAAAAUGCACGGAGGUUAUUCCAGAGCUGCAGGACAGAGUACUUGAGGCCAUUGGUGAACAGAAAGCUGAGGUUGAACAAAGCCAAGAAUUGAUAGCUGCCCAAGGUGUAAGCAAGAUUCACAAUGAUGAGGUCAUUGUGACGUGUGCAAUGUGUCCACUGGUCUUGGCCUUCCUGACCAAGGCAGCCACACAAAGGAAAUUCCACGUUAUUGUUGCCGAACGUGCCCCUAAAUAUGAUGGUCACCCAGUGGCAAAAGCUUUAUGUACUGCUGGAAUUGAGACAACAUUAAUUCAAGACUCUGCAGUGUUCCCCAUCAUGUCACGUGUCAACAAGGUCAUCAAAGGUCAUCGUUGGCACCGAGACGGUGGUGACCAACGGAGGCAUUGAGACCUUUGUUGGUGCAGCCUCUCUUGCCUCACCACCAAAGUUUUAUUCUGUUCCACUGUAUGUGUGCACUCCCACAUACAAAUUUAGCUUGAUGGGCUGUGAAGAAAUAAGCCACCAAACCACCACUUCUAUUAUCCCAGAGGGAACAAAGUUUUGGCCGUCUGUAAAUACUGCGCUGACUCAGCUAGAUUACGUUCCUCCAGAAAAUGUCACCAGUUUGAUAACUAACA